UCCAGAAACUUGCGUAGCACUCGUGAAGUUGUCUUUUACGGCUGGGUCCCCCUGGAUCUUUAUCUGCCAUCAUGUUAAAAAAGAUGAGCAAAACAAGUCGCCAGCUAACUACGAAGCUAUACCAAAGCAACACAUACAGAAAACACGUAAGUCCAAGGCGUACGUAAUCUACGUAACUAGGCCUGAGCCGGAAGAUUUUUGAUUGACAGGAAAGGGAGCAAACCAAACGCCUCGGUCCGAGCGCGUUGAUUGGCUGAUGUUUUUCAGGUCCUGCCAUGUCCACAGUUAUUUUUUUUUUAUUUUUAUUCUUUUAGAGACCAUACAUACAAGUCCACUAAAGGUCAGUAUAUUCAUUUUAUGUGAAUCAGACAAAUUAAACAAAAAAAAACUCCAUAUGUGGGAAUAUGGCCUUUUAUUUACUUUGAUUUUCUUUAUUUGCAUGAUUAUUUGGUGUGCACUUUCCUUAUAUUUUGUUGUGCAAUUAGUUGCUUGAUUUCUGUGUUAGUUUGUCAAUUUGCAUGUUUUGUUGUGCUGUUUUUCUUUGCAUAUUCCUUUUUUUUCCUUGUUUCUAAUGAGUUUAGGCCACGCCCACUACCUGCCGGCAUGUAGCAGAACAGACUGUGGACAUUGAUUGAGCGCACCUGGUGCCAAUCAGUUGAUUACGCAGGACUGAACCUGGGCAAUGACAGCAAACAAAAGAGACAAUCAGACGAAGACCGAGGGGAGCAGGAAGGACGGAGAGAGAGGAGGAACGGGCAGCGCGGCAGCGGGCGAGCCGCAGGGCGCGUGGCGGUGUGAGCCGCAAUGGCGAGCCGCAGACGGAGAGGCAGUGCGGCGGCGGCAGAAGCAGCGGGGAACGGCAGCGUGCAAGGGGCAGCACGAUAGAUAACCGGGCAGAAGCGGCGGUGUAUGACGAGCACCAGGGCGGACUACUAGGCUGAAACAAGGGCGCACAGCACCGGCACCGAGACAGGACGACCGAAGAGCGAGAGAGAGACGCACGGGAGCCACAAAGUGGGGCCAGGUCUGGAACGCACGGCGGUGCUCAACGCGUGUUUGCGGCAUACUGGGCGGCUUGGAUAUCGCCGCCCGGACUCGGUGAGUCGCCACACACGGGAGGGAGACGCGUGGGUCCUGUUAUUACUUCCCCCACUGGCAGAUCCUCUCUUUCUCCCAGGCUCCAGAGUCUGUGUGAUCGCGAGGCGCAGCGCCGCGGCCCCGGAGGACUGGAGAAGCUCCCCCUUCACCCUCGUCAGAGAAAAGGCCCCGCAUGACGAGUCCAUUGGUCACCCAUUCCGUAGUGACUUGAUUUCAGUGGUGUAGUCCAGGAUAUACGGCGGUAUACGGCGUAUACCCACUUAUUUUUCAGUUAGCAUUGCCUAUACCCACUUCUAAUGCUCCCUGGUGCGCAUCAUUCAGUCAUAUCUGUGUGCCAGGUAGCCCUCUUUUCCUUAAGGAUGAUGAAGCCAUGAACAACCCUCCUCUGCCUGUAAUUGGCUGGUACAUGCUAUCUUCACUGAUUCGAUUGGUUAACUUUAGGGAUGAGCCAAUCAGAGGCAGAGUAGGGCGGGUCAUACAGAGGAAAAUUUUGCUAACACCUCUGUGGCACUCCAGUUGAUUGACAGGUCUGCUUGAAAGAUGCGCGGAAAUGCGAGAAAGUCAGAAUAAACACCUUUCAAGUGAGUGGUACGUAUGGAGCGAACCUACUUUCAUGGACGAUAUAAUUCUCAGCAGGUGGAGCCAACAUCAACUAGUGAAGUCUGUCUGAAGGCUCCAACUUCAACUAAACCCACAGCUGAACCUCAAUCAUCCACACUUUAACUGAUCCAUGUACAAAUACGUUGGUUAUUUACAUAGAAAACUGAUGCAUUUAAACUGUCUGAGGUUCUGUUCCUGGUUGGUCAGAGCUGCUCGGUUCUAUGUGGUCCAACUGUUCUAAUUCAUCUCUAAGGGAACAACGGACAUAGAAAACGGUUCCACAGAUAAAGUUCUACCAGAACAAUAUUAUUGUAACGUGAAGGUUGAUGAUGGUGGUCGGAUCACUUCCUGAGGAGAAACAGCACGAUGGAGACGAGAACUUCAGCUCUGAACUCUGACUAGUGAUGGUCCUCUGACACACAUGUGCUGUAGCUCAUGAAAUAAAUGUAUGGAACCAGGUGAA